ACUGUUUUGAUGAGGAAUUGAAAGAUUAUGUGUCCCAUCCAUUUGACUCACAGUUUGGUACCAUAGGUUGGUACGAUCUUCGUUGGAGAAGGAAAAGGGAUGUUCCAGAUACAGAAAAUCGUCAAACCAUUUACGACAAAGUCCGUUUCUGGGUGGAGUUAGUGGAACCGAAAAAGAUGUCUCCCUCACAGUGUUUGUGACAAAAGAAUUGCAUCGUUCCUUGGCGGCCUUUCAACAGAAUAUUCAGAGAUUUCCCGAGUGGACACAAUCAUCGCCUUGGAAGCUUCAUCACGAUACUACUUUGCAUUUCUGAAGAGGGAAGAAGAAAUCAACAUGCAAAUUCAAUUCCAUGGUUUUGGAAGUCCCAUUGAGAACACGAUUCAUUUGCGCCGGCACAAUGCUCUGACCGAGAAAGAA